rnacentral:snoRNA from 1 species
CCGAUUCCUGAAGCAUCCCAUGUUUUUCUGUUGGCUGGUGUAGUCCAGUGGUGAGCGGAUUCUAAACCCCAGCCCAGGAAACAGGGUUGUUCUUCAUGUGGAUGACUCUGUGCCGAAAAGCAUGGGAUCAGAA